CAGCAGGGCCUUCCCCCAGCGCCACUUGCUCCUGGCAGUCCUAACCCCGGGUGCCAGAGUAGCCAAGGCCCAGGCCAGGACCUACGGACUGAUGGAUGCCAGAGCCCAGGAGGCCCAAGGGUCUGUCCGGCCGAGACUGGCACCUGGAGACAGCCUUUUGGCUGGCGGGAGCCCUCUUACCCAGCCAGGGCAGGGGACAUCGUUCUCACUUGCUGGCUUUUGAGAAAGUGGCCCUGUCCUUCAGUUCCUUGAACAUGGCUGCUCCAGAGAGCCUCCCAGGAAAGGGAAAGUCAGUCAUGUGUAUCAGAAGACCCCUGAGGACCUCAUACACAGCUUCAGCCUCUUCUCGACAACUCUCCCAGGUGACCUCUGAAGCUCAAGGACCGUGUCCAGCCCAGGCCCUGCCCUGGAUUCAUGUCGACUGGUCCCUGUCAGAGGCGUGAACCCUUGGCUGUGGGAGUUACAUCUCUCCUAUGACCGACCCACCCUACAAGGUGGUUUCUAUGCCUGUAACGUCCCUGCCCCCUGGGCCUCAGACUGGCUACCUGUGAAGUGGGAUUGUACUCCACACAGAUUUUUGCUCUGCACAGGUCCAGAGGAGGCAGCCUGAGGUCGGGAAGUGGUGCCAAGCAGGAGCUUCUGCGUGCAGCCGACUUCCCUGUGGUGAGUGGGGCCUCACUGUCCUUCCUCGGGAGAGUAGGGAGCCGUGGGAGACCUCAGAGUGAGAAGGACUAGGGUCAGAACCACAACCCUGCCACUGCUCCAGGACCUCAGCGUAGACGCCCUUACCUGGAGGCCUGUGCCUCCCACCAGCAGACUGCCCCCGGGGGAUUCAUCUCAUCUACCCAUGAUGCACUGUGAUAUGAUGAUCUUUGACCCCACAUCGGGUUACCUGGGUCGGAUGUGAUUUAACGGAGCUGCAGUUCCAUCCAUUACUGACUUUAAGGCACAGCCUUGCUACCCUGAGGCAACACUGUCUGUAGGCUCACACCCUUCAGGUCACCCAGUCUGAGGGCUCUCUGGGAACCUCAAAGGCAGCUCUCUGUCCCCUGUCACCAUCACUCAGUGUAAUCCUAGUACGCCCACGCCACCCAGCACUGAUGGAGGACCAGGAGAGUUGUGCCUGGUGUGAGAAAGAAGGACAGAUGAGGGAGACAGAAUCACAUCUGUUUCCAGGCUGGGCUAAGGCACAGGGGGUGGUGGCCACAGUCAAGGAGGGACCAGGAUGCUUGUCCCCCACUAUUUCUCUCCUAUAGCUUGAGUUCUGCAUGUUGCAACGAAGCCCAGACUCGGGGAGGGUAUUCAGGGGCAGGGGCAGGACAGGCACUUUUGGGGGCUAUCACAGUGGCACGUAUCAGCCUCCUGCUGAUUGCUAACUACACUGGCCAAGGAGCUGCCGAGAAUCCCCCAUGGUCCCCAGUGAGAGGCAGCCCAGACCUCCCAGGCAAUCCUGCUUACAAUAUUGUAUCCUGCUGGCCAGGGACAGAACCCGAAAUGUUGAGAGGCCCAUGACAAGGUGUGCUUUCUCUCCUUCUUCAAGGUGUUUCUGAAAGGCUCAGAUGGCAUUGGCAAAAGUGACUUCUGGUCAUUCUACCAUGUCCAGGUGCAUCCUGGGAACUGACAAGGUUAACCAUGGCCAUUCAGUGACACCUCCGCCUUCCCACCUGGUCCACUCAUCAUAGAUGGGAACACGGGGUGGGGGGUGGGACUGAGCCACUCUCUUCCCAUGCCUUCCUGCCUCGCUAGCUCUGCUUGGACCAUCCUUGGGGAUAUUUGACCUGUCUCUUAGUAAAAGGGUACAGGCUUGAGGCAGGGGAUAGCACUCCUGAGGCUCACGUAGAUGUCCUUCUAGGGCUGGACAGUGCCUGCACACCUAGGUCCAGGCCACAGUAGCGCUUUGGGGCCGUGUUCCCAAUCCACUCUGCCUCAUAGAGUCCAGAUCUGGGUGCACAGUGUGGACUUAAGCCUAAUGGCUCCAGGGUCCUUGGACUUGCUCCUGUCACCCUUGGCAGGGAAAAGGAGGUGUGGCACCAGGUGCUAGGGUUCAUGCAGAGAACCAAAGCUGGUUGGCUUCCUGGUACUGGGCACAGAGCUUCCCUCUGCAUUGCUGUCUGAGGCCUGAAAGCAGAGCCACCUGGGGGCUAGAGCCUGUGUCUUCACAGUGACCCCACCUCGCAGCUGGAGGAGGAGAUGAUUCCACCCAGCCUGGUGCCUGCCCAGGAAAACUAUGGAAGGAGGCCUGCAGUCGAGUCUCCAAGACUCUGUUGGUACCCGGGAGCAGAGAGCUACAGAAGCAUCUUACAAGGUGGGAAGGAUGCUCCAGCGCACUGCUGCUGCUCAGCUGGGCAGGCUAUAGGCCUUGCUUAUAAGAUGGGCUUACAGUAUACUUGCCCAAGGGUCCCCUGCAAGCUAGUGGCUGUGAGUGGUGCAGGCGCUCACAGUACAGGCUGACUGUUUUGUCCCAGAGUGAGCCUCACCUGUCCCACUACACAGUGAGUGGCAAGACCCACACCGGCCGCCUGCCCUUACCAGGUCUUCCUCCCUGCUGGGCUCUGUCCAAAGCUCUGGAGGCCCAAGCUCUGAGCCAAACACAGAGCCCCCGCUAGCUUCAGGAAGUGCUAGUCGCCAAGGACAGACUGGCCAUCAGUGUCCAGCCAGGGUCUGCACUUCCGCCCAGCUGGCCACCAUGGGGAGCUAGGCUGCCUCCCACAAGGAAAAAAAAAUGGUUUUGAGCCUCCUGUAGCAAGGUCAGCUCAGGCCACCCUGGGGGGAGGCAGAGACAGAACCAGAGCCCUCAAGGAGGGGCUCUUCCUGUGAAAGAGGAGGGUGCAUGCCCAAGGCUGCUGCCUCGCUGGAGUCCUGGUGCCUCCAGCGCUUCCUGUACUCCAUCACAGAGGCUGGGUUUCAGCCAGGUGGACGCUGGAAGCUCCCUGGACCUGGCUGGCCUUUGACAAGUAACACCCUUCCCCCACUGUGGCCAUUCCUGCCUAGUGAUUGAUCUGCUUCUUCUCUUUUCUCCCCGCCCCUACUUCCGUCAUCCUCUCUGCUUGGUGAUUUUGUUUAAGUGUCCUGGCCCACUGUGGGGGAAUCCCGGUCCGCUGCCGGCCAUACCCUUAUAGCACCGAACUGGCCGUGUUGGGCCCCUCACCAUGUUCCCAGCUCUUCUUCCUCUAGGAGGCAUCUCUAGACGCCAAAGCAUCCAGCUCGACACCAAGACGGACGGACGGCCUUUGGGGUGAGGUAGUAGGUUGUAUGGUUUUGGGCUCUGCCCCGCUCUGCGGUAACUAUACAAUCUACUGUCUUUCCUGAAGUGGCUGCAAUAUCUACAGAGCACGCAACGCCAGCCUGGCCUGGGAGGCUGAGGGAGGCACGGGGUGGUAGCUGCCCUGUCUGACAGGGACCUUGGACAGUCCCUUGACUUCUGUGGUCUGUUAGUUAUCUGUAAGGGUUGAGGCGUGGGGGUGCGCAGACGUGUGGCAUUUCCAGGGCACCUCCUCUCCCUUGGCCACACUAAAGCAAGCAGCUUUCCUUCUCCUGACCCCAUCAUAUUAGGCUAUGAGUCCUGGCCUCACAGGCCUCCCUGAAGAAAGGGUCCAGACUGCACCUUCAACUCUGUUCCAGAGUUGCCGCACACUCCAGAUCUGGCAUACGCCCAGACUUGCCAGCUCGAGGGCAGGCCUCUGUUGAAUAGCAGCAUCUCCAUCUACAUAGAGACAAGGCAGCUUUUCCAUAAAGGAAGAGAGAGGAGGGUUCUAGCCUGCUCGGGCACCCUGUGGGCAGAGCCUGCAGCUGGACUGUAGGCUGCUGUCCCUGGGGCGGUGGGUUCAGACACUGGAGACGUCCCUCAUCCCUCUAGUGGGUACAGGCCUUUCUUGCCGAGCCACUGUCUCCGCUUCCCCCCCUGCCCUGUGCCAGUUGUGCCAUAUGGCUCUGGCAGCCUGUGGCCAGGGUGGGCGGGGAGCGGCUGGGCCUCCUCCAGAACGUGGACCCCGCAGGGUGAGGUAGUAGGUUGUGUGGUUUCAGGGCAGUGAUGUUGCCCCUUAGAAGAUAACUAUACAACCUACUGCCUUCCCUGAGGAGCCCAGGGUCACAUGCACAUGGAGGCCCCUGCUCAGCAAGCCACGUGGAGAGCCUGUGCCACAGAUUGGGUGGGCGCAGCGGUGUGGGGCCUGGAUAAAAAUAAAGGCAU